rnacentral:rRNA from 1 species
UCAUAUGCUUGUCUCAAAGAUUAAGCCAUGCAUGUCUAAGUACGUGCCUAAGAAAGGUGAAACCGCGAAUGGCUCAUUAAAUCAGUUAUGGUUCCUUAGAUCGUACCUUACUACUUGGAUAACUGUGGUAAUUCUAGAGCUAAUACAUGCAGCAGAGCUCCGACCUUCGGGGACGAGCGCUUUUAUUAGACCAAGACCAAUCGGACCUCGGUCCGAAGCUCAUGGUGACUCUGGAUAACUUUGGGCUGAUCGCACGGUCUCGUACCGGCGACGCAUCUUUCAAGUGUCUGCCUUAUCAACUUUCGAUGGUAGGUUAUGCGCCUACCAUGGUCGUAACGGGUAACGGGGAAUCAGGGUUCGAUUCCGGAGAGGGAGCCUGAGAAACGGCUACCACAUCCAAGGAAGGCAGCAGGCGCGCAAAUUACCCACUCCCGGCACGGGGAGGUAGUGACGAAAAAUAACAAUACGGGACUCUAUUGAGGCCCCGUAAUUGGAAUGAGUACACUCUAAAUCCUUUAACGAGGAUCUAUUGGAGGGCAAGUCUGGUGCAGCUCCAAUAGCGUAUAUUAAAGUUGUUGCGGUUAAAAAGCUCGUAGUUGGAUCUCAGUUCCAGACGGGUGGUCCACCCCUGGUGGUUACUGCCUGGCCUGAACAAAUUCAGCCGGUUUUCCUUGAUGCUCUUCACCGAGUGUCUUGGGUGACCGGCACGUUUACUUUGAAAAAAUUAGAGUGCUCAAAGCAGGCGUGACGCCUGAAUAAUGGUGCAUGGAAUAAUGGAAUAGGACCUCGGUUCUAUUUUGUUGGUUUUCGGAACACGAGGUAAUGAUUAAGAGGGACAGACGGGGGCAUUCGUAUUGCGACGCUAGAGGUGAAAUUCUUGGACCGUCGCAAGACGAACUACU